rnacentral:misc_RNA from 1 species
UUUUCUCGGUGCUCGCAGUGGUUAGUUGGGAAGUGUGGGGAGAAACGUGAAGCCGGGCGGUACAGUAGUGCAAUGUUGUGAUAUCACUUAUCUAUAAUAUUAUUAUCUUAUCCAAGGGAAUCAAAGUCUGAGUGUAUGUCGGUGCUUCUAGGUUACGAGCUCAUUCACUGUUACAAAAAGGGAACAUACCCUCACUGGAGGAAUGUAAAGUGGCCAUUCCACCAAAAACCACGUUAGUCUUCACUUCAGUCUGCACGUGGAGACGUGAACUUGAUAUAUUGAAAGAAGCAGAACAAAGUCCAUCCCAAGAUCGACCAAAUUAUCGAGAGGAAGAAUCAAGUACCAGUAGUGAUGAAGAAACAUUUUUCACCAAUAUUUUGAAGAAAAUAGUGAAGCAUGGAAAGCACAAAAUGUAUUUGUCUGACAGCAAGGAAUCAAAUCUUUCAAAUGAAAUGGAAUCCGAUAAUGACGAUGACAAUGAUGAUUCGGCAAAACCCCCAAAGCUAUCCCCCCUAUUGAAGACCCAUUGUACCCCCACCCAGUAUUGCCCCCAACAUUUCCCAUCCCCCCUUCCGUCCUCAAGGCUGCCAAGUCUAAGAAAAACCCGAAAUCAACAACUUCGAAAACCAAAAAACCCUCAAAAUCAUUGACUUCUAAAACUCAGAAACCAUUGUCAUCAAAGCCAUCUAAACUGCAAAGGAAAUCUUCUAAUUCGUUGUCAUCAACCUCUUCAAAGACCGAUACUAGUAAUGGCCAGCAUUGGUUGGACAAUCAGGAGAUAAAAGUUAUCGAAAAAGCCCUCAAACUCCUCAAAUCGUCAAACGAAAUGUCCAACGAUCCCCACUACGCAUAUGGACUGCACAUUGCCAAUCAGCUGAAAAAGUAUGACUCCAACACACUGAUUCAUGUGAAGAAAGCCUUUGCCGACAUCUUGCACCGAGCAGAUAUGCAACAAUCCGCAAAAAACAAGCAGUCAAAGAGUAAUAACCAUGCUGCAACCUCGUCACUUGAAGGAGAAAGCUAUGACAAUAAAACUUUUCCCAUUACACCCGUUUUUCUGCCCACUAACCCCUAACAAAACCAAGGUGAUAAUCUGUGAUAAUAACUUGAUGAUACCCUAACAAGUUACCUUUCUUACGUUUCUCACUAAAUGAGAUAGAUUCUGUUGAGAAAUUAAAGGGUUCAACAAGUGUAAGUUCAUUAUUUUAUAGUUGCUCAAUUUUUGAUGAUUUAAUUUUCGUUAAUUUAGGUAAAGGUUAAUGAUAUUUCCUAUUCGAAGUUGAGACUGAUGUUUAAGUUCGUGUAGAAAUGAGUCACUCUGUAUCCAAUUGUAAAUAUUAUUUUUAUUUGUUUAACAUCAGUUAUUAGUAUCGGCCUGAUUCAUUAGCCUAUUUUUUGUUCAAUCAAUUUGUUUAAAAAGUUACACAGCUCACAUUGUUCCUACUUAGUUCUUGUAAAUUUGAGUUGGAGGCAUCAAUUAACUUUUUAUUUUUUUCAACUUCUAUAUUCUCUAUUAUUCCACGAUGGUUGGUGUUAGUGCCAACACACCGUACACAUAAAUAAUCACGCUAUUCGAUAGAGCUAGCUAGAGGAACAUAUUGACUUGAAAAUAUUACUGUAUUACAAUAUCAUAUCAAACUGCUGCAAAUGAUGAUAUUGUACAGUGUACUGUAUUGAUAUAAACUAAUCGAAUAAUUCAUUCAAAUCAAUAACCAAUGUAAGUUAUACUGAAUUGAAUGAUAGUAUCAAAUAAUUUUUUUAUUAUAUUAUUACAAACACACUGUUGAUUAAAUUUCGUUUAUUGAUUCAAGAUUGUUUUGAUUGAAGCAAGUAAAUUUUUCUAACUACAGUACAAAAUUGCAUUAGUCAUUUUUAGAUAUUUUAAACCUUCAAUAAAUUUGAGAAGGCUUCUCUGACUAUUUUUUGCUGAUAUUGAUUAUUUAUGUCAGUCUUCAGGAAUAACAGUAUUUAUGUAUGUUAAUAUUUAUCUCUAUUUAUAUGAGUGUGUUUUUAUCGAUUUAGAAUAUAACGCACAUUGUUUAGAAGAUUAAUCGAUUAUAGAAAAAGUUGUUCCAGAGAUAAACAACAAAUAUUACUGCUUAUAUCAUAAUUGCAAUAAAUUAAAUUCAAUUAAAUUUAUUAAAGUACAAUUAAAUUCGAUUUGUAAAAUCAAAUAAUUUAUGUUACUGAUUACGUAGAAGUGUAAUGAGCUAAUUUAGACUAUUAUCAUGAUAUAUUUCAAGUUAUUCAUUAUGAUGGAAAUCUUCUUUAGUUUCUGUUUAGUUUAACUCGUGAAGUGGUAAAAAUGUAUAUUAUGGCAGUUUCUAAAGAUUAAUGAAUUAUUGGAAAAUUAAAAAUGUCUGUACCGUAUUACUUUGAUAAUAAGUUGAAUUUACAUUUGCUUUAAUUAAUUACAAUAUUAUAAAAUUAAA